rnacentral:rRNA from 1 species
GACGAACCGAGCGAACGUUGUUCGGAAUCACUGGGCUUAAAGGGCGCGUAGGCGGGCUGUCAAGUCUGGGGUGAAAUCCCGCGGCUCAACCGCGGAACUGCCUCAGAUACUGACGUCUCGAGGGGGUAGGGGCGGAGCGGAACUGAUGGUGGAGCGGUGAAAUGCGUUGAUAUCAUCAGGAACUCCGGUGGCGAAGGCGGCUCGCUGGACCCCUUCUGACGCUGAGGCGCGAAAGCCAGGGGAGCAAAGCGGG